UAAGUUUUACUCUCCUGUUUAAGUGUAAGAAAAUUGAUUAAUGUAAAUAAUCAUAGCUAUAAGUAACUCUAUAAUUUGAAUUUUACUUGGUACAUUAAAUAAACUAUUUAAUUAUUUAAUGAUUGGCAUCUCAAGCCACCCCACCCCAUCUGGGUCUCACUGUCUAGGUUCCUAAAUGGUGGGCUCAAGUUAUCCUCUCCUCUCAGCUCCCAAGUAGCUGAGACUACAGGCAUUUAUUUGCUACCACCCCAGCCAUGGUUGACAUCUUAAGAAAAUCCUGUCAGCCUUUUAAAUCUAAAUUUGAGCUGCCAGAUCUGGUUUUGGAACGUUGUGAUCUGUUAAGCAAUUUGUUUCCAUGAAAAGAAUAUUACUAAUAAAUCAGGAACCAGUUAACCAGAUUUUUGUUGCCUGCUGAGUUUGGGAUGAUUUCAGGAAGUUGAACCUCCCUCCCCUAACUACACAUGCUUUUCUCAAGAAUAAUGUAACUGGUUAUUGUGGCUCUAUUUGCACCGCGUUCCAUUGUCAGGGCUAAAUCAAUUACCUAAUCAAGGAGAAACUCACUCUCUUAAAAUUUGACAGCUGUUUACUAAAUUAUUCAUUUCAAUAAAGUGAACUGAGUAAACAUGAUUAUUAAAUGACAAAACCAAUCAUCAAUCUCUGAUUCACAACAUCCUAGGUAUUGUUUAUUUAUUUUUUUUAGCUCUUUAAUGCCUUCUCAAUUUGUCAUUCACUGCUGAAAAUUACUACCAUUUUAUGCUUUCAUUUUGAACAUUUUGUAAUUCCAGCACCAUAUUUUAAAACGUUUAUUAAUAUUUUUGUAUGAUUUUUGCACCCAAU
rnacentral:lncRNA from 1 species